UUUUGACUGUUGGAAUAUAAGCGACUGCAAGAAUACACCGUAAAUCUAUACGGAUGCCCUUCGACUGCUCGCCGAAGUCCUUUUUGCCCCAGCCGGUAGGUCUCUAGACGUUACAAAGAACCCCGAACAACCCAAUCUGCUAAUCUCCGAUAUCGCUUUAUACUCACGAUCUUGUAUCCACUGACUGUCUUGUUAGAUUAACCCAAUAAAUUUCAUUCACUCCGCAUACUCAAUCCUAUAGAAACCCUUUUAAUUCUUCAUCACAGAGGUAACUCGAUUUCACAAAACAGUCAAGAGUAAUCAAACCCACUUCAUUAAAAAUCCCGAUUCACCAUUACAACACUAACUUCAGCAACGAUUGCCUCAGUCUUUCCAAAACCCUAUGAAGAAAAAAAACCCAAUUCUCUGUCUUUUUUUUCCUUCCGAAGCAUGAAGCUCGCUCUCUGAUCCUUCAAAAAAACCCCUCCCAAAAACUUAUUCUCUCCCCUCUCAUUUCUUAACCUUAAUUCUGAAUUUCUUCAAUCCUCCAUCUUAGAUCCGGAAUUGGCUCCCACCGUCAGAGCUUGGAUCCGAAAUUGGCUCUCGCCGUUAGAGCUUUUUCCUCUGUUUUUACCUUUAAGAGAUCCUUUUACCGAAAACAACGUUCCUUGAAACGGCACAGAGAUCAGGACAUCCUGAAACAGAAUCGAAACCCCAUAAUCAGGACAAUAUUGAGUCGUCCAACCAAUUCAGGUCUCAUAUUGGCUAAGAGUCUAGUAGUAAGACCCGGAUGUUUCCAUAAUUGAAUCAAAUUGGUCCUUCACGUCAGAUUAGCUGAGGCCCGUAGUAAGACUUGGAUUUUUCCGUAAUUAGACUGCAUUGGAUUGCCCGACCAAUUCAGGUCUCAUAUUGGAUAAGAGGACCCAGAUUGGAUUCUUGAAAUUGGAUCCAAUUGGCUGUUCGAACCAGGCUCACCCAUCGUGUGAAUUGGUCCUUUCCCUUCCUGCUGACUCCCGUUAUUGGAAUCGAACGUAGCAUUUCAGUAUACUCCGACUGACUGUAAUGGGGUGACUGAACCUGGCCACUCAGUAUUUGUACUCGAGUUGGUCGUUGCUCCCAAUAUUCGAGGUAACUGAACAUUAAUAAAAGUACCCUUUCUUUAUAUUUUUAUGGUAUACUCAUGUUACAAUACGACAUCCAUCCCCUCUGAACCUGUGCAUCCUCCGAUAUGCACCAAUUUAUCCAAUUGCUGUUUGAUUUAGAAUAUAUCCUCUACGUCUUUGUCUUGUUCGUCAUCAUCACCUUCAUUAUCCAAAUCACUUUCAUCUUCUUGCUGCGAAAUCUCUAUACCUUCAUUAAGGUCUUCCAUAUUCAUCUCCGCGUAUCUUCGUUUAAAUAUUUUUACUCGCUUCCUUGCAAUUGGUAUUUUCAAUUUUGUACCAUCUAACUCUCGUAAUGAGUAAGUCGCAUUAUCAUGAACAGUUGUUACUACAUAUGGUCCAAACCAACGUUUUGAAAAUUUCCGCAAAAUACUAUGUUGAUUAUCCAGACUAUUGUCAUAAAUAAGUACCCAGUCACCUUCCUCAAUUGCUUUAGGUCUCAAUCGAUGUUGCUUGUCAAAUCGCGCCUUGUUUUGUAACCUUGCUCUUUUUAACCUUCCCAAUGCUAUCUGGACAUCUUCCGUUCUUUGCUCCAAUUGUCGAAUCCUAAUAGCCAGAAGUUCUUCUCUUGUCAAUCCAUCUUCCCAUGGUAGCAUACUCCAAGUAAGUACCUUUUCUUCAAUCGACAUAAUUGAUUUUUGACCUGUCAUAAGUUCUACUGGCUUAUAUCCUGUCAUCGAACUAUGUGUUGUUCGAUUAGCCCAUAAUGCACAUGACAAAAGCCGUGGCUACUCUUAAACUUUCCCAUUACAAGCUUUAACUAAUGCUUUCACAAUUGGUGGGUGACCGCGUUCGCUUUUUACAUUCCCUUCCGGAUUAUAAGCAAUAGUCAGUGAUAGUUUAACUCCACAUUUUUCAAAGAACUUACGAGCUUCUUGUGCAUUUAAUUCUCCACGAUCAGCAGUAAUUUUUCCUACGCAUCCGUAGCGGCAAAUGACAUCUUCAAGCAAAAACCUACAAAUCUCCUCUGUAGAUUUUGUCCUCAAUGCUCUUCCUUCUACUUGAUUUGAUAAAUCUUCGCAAGCUAAAACCAAAUAUCUCAUCUGCUAUAACCCAACCGGCAUAAUAACCAAAUCAACAACCCAUUUAAAAUGAAUAGCCAGAGGAUACGUAGGAUGAAGACCAUCUCGAUGUCGGAUAUUAGAAUACGAUUGACAAAUUUCACAUGACUCUACAAAUGAGAGCACAUCUCGAUACAUAUUUUUCCACCAAUAUCGUUCCUUGAGUUUAGCAAAAGUAGCCCAGAUUCUUCUAUGCCCUGCCCAUAAACUAUCAUGAAACUCCUUUAAUAAUUUUAGUUUUUCUUCUUUUUUGCCUAUCACUCGUUGUGGCAUCCCAAUUGCUUUCUUCGGUCUCUUCGAUAAGAAUCCAUCUCGAAGUAAAAAUCCAUAUGCUUUUUUUCUUAUUUGUUUGAAUUAUUCUGUAGACAGAUUCCCCUACUUAGUCAAGGUAUUCAAAUAAUGACCAAUAUCCAAUAAUUCUCCUUCAUAAUAUUCUUCAAGAAGUAGCUUGUCUUCUCUGUUGAGAUUUGAUAUUGAAUAGAAUUUCAAUCCGACGUCAUCAAUGUCUUCAACCAUUUCGUCCUCCCUCUCGUAUCUUGCUCGAGAUAGCAUGUCUGCUACUAAAUUGUCCUUCCCAGUAACAUGCUUAAAUUCCAGAUUUAGUAAAUUCCGGAUUCCGGAUCAAAUAGUCCUUUUCAGCUUUCAUAGCCGAAACAACUCCCCAAAGUUCUCUUUUGACUUGCGAAUAUGCACGCUGACGAAUACUUAAAACUUUAGCUCCAAAUCGAACUGCAAAUCUAUUCCCACUUGAAUCAUCUUGAUCCACAGCCCAUCCAAUGGCAAUUGGAUUAGCGUCCACAAUAAGAAUCACUGGUCUAUUGCACUUAUAAUCAACCUUCCUCAAUAUUGGAGGUGACAUCAAUAAUUUCUUUAAUCUUUGCAUUGCCUGAAUAUGCCUUUCUUUCCAUUUAAAUCGGUAACCCUUGCAUAACAGUUCAUAUAAUGGAUUCACUAUGUCAACAUAAUGAAAGAUCCAGAUUUGAUAAAAUACACAUACACCUAAAAACUUGCGAACAUCUAUUAAAGAAUCACAAUCCUCUUUCAUCCUUCCAAUUGCAUCAACUUUAGUCGGAUCUGGUUUUCUUUCGUAAGAUCUACAUAAAUGUCCAACAAUCACAACCUCUCGUAUUUCAAAUACGGACUUCAUACCCGAUAAUGUAAGAUGAACUUCUCCAAGCCGAGUUAAAAUCUUUUCACAAUCUUGUAUAUGAUCAACAACAUAUUUGCGACACCCCCUCGUAUCUAAAGUUUCAUCCUUGUCUCCUUCUCUGCACCCUUUUAUGGGAACAUCAUCCUGAAAAGGCAUAGUCUUUUCCAGAAUAAAAUCUCUCAAUACCUUAUUCAUCUCAUUCAUCAUAUGUGCAACUGAGUUGGUCGCGCCUUGAAGAAGAGUGCACAUUCUAACCAAUCCAAGUGGUGUCCUCAUUGUUGUCAUAUCUCCACUUCCUUCGGCAAGUUGAAAUUGAUCAUAAGCUGAAUAUAAGUCACCCAUUGAAUGGAUCGCCCUUCCAGCAAACGCCUCAGCAAAUUCAUCCACAAUAGGUCCAAUUCCUGCAUUCCUGACAGUUACUGUAUUCACUGGUUGCAUAUCUUGAAUAAACCGUAGUGACCCAUUCUUCUUAGGUACCGUAAACCAUCGACUAGAAUACAGCGCAAACGAGGAUUCCAAUAUUUUCAUCUUUAACUUUUCUUUUAAUAGUUCAACUAAUUUAGGUAAAUGUGCCCUCGGUAUUAGAAUCGGUCUUAGAUUCUAAGGUACAUGCGGUAUAGUGAAGAUAACCAUAGGUGUUAUAAUAUUUGGAUCCACACACCCAAUUUCCUGAGAUUCGAAAGCAAACGAUCUACCUUGUUUAGCCAACAUCUUUUUGAAGCAAGUAAUUUCCUCCGGCAAUAAAAAACCAUCAAAACCAAUCUUCAAUUCUUCAAAAGUCUCUUUAGUAAACUAAUGUCCAAUACUCAUUGGAUCUCUUAAACUUGCUUCUUUUGAUGCUUCUCCCAUUUGUUUUUUAGAAUCUUCUGGUAAUGGUUUGGCAACAGGCUUUACCUUCUUAUCUGCCAUUUUAUAUCUUGACUUCUGGUGCUUGAAAAGAUUCAAUUAUGGUAUAAACCUCUCUUGAAUGAAUCUCAACAAUCUUAUCAUUAUCCCCUAACCCAAUAGAUGUAAUCAUUUCCAAUGAAUCUUCCAGUCCAUUUUCUUAAUUAAAACCCUAAAAUCCUCUCAUCAUCUUGCAAUGUAUCUAACUUGCGUAAUUCUCUUUCAAUAUUAUAUAAUCUUUUUCUUUCUUUUCUUUUAAAAUCCUCAACUUUCUUAUACAUAAUAUUUCCAUUCUCCAAUAUACCAAUAAAACUCGCAUCAAAGGCACCUUCAUCUCGCGAGAGUACCUCCUCUUUUGUACCUCCAUAAUCUUGCUUUACAGUGGUACCUCUCCAAAAUCCUUAAAUCCUUCAACAAUCUUUGGCAAUGGUUUCUCCCUCAACCUAUCUCGAUUCCGUUCAUGGUUAAGAGGUAUUAUUAGAAAUUGUACAGCUUUCCUCCCAUCUUCACUCCGUACCCUUGCAUAAGCAGAACCAUCAUCAAGUACUUUUGUUUCCAUCCGUAUUGCCAUAGUAUAAGGUUGUCCUAAAAUCAACGGAUAAGAUGUUGUAUCUUGAACAAAGAAAUGUUGCUCCGUCACAACAUCUCCAAUCCGAAUUUUGACAUCCAGACAAGCUCCAUAUAAUUCACCCCGUGUGUUAUUAGAUGCUCGUAUUGCCCAUCCAUGUUCCAUAUCAAUUCGCCAUUUUUGCUUCUUAUAAAGAUCUUUAGACAUGAGAUUUAUUUCAGAACCAUGGUCGACUAAAGCAACAAUUGGUUCUUCUAUAUCUCCUACUUUCACCAAUACCUCAGUAGUUGCCCUUGCCCAAUGCUUUCAAGUAUAAUGGCUCAAGGUUUCGAUUUCGUUAUCACUAUAAUCUUCAAAACGUACUCGUUGAUUAUACCCAUUCUUUUCAUUUGUUGGUUGCUUGUAACCAAUAUCAACCUCUUCUUCAUCUUUAUAUAUUCUUGCAUCAAUAACAUGACUCAUUCCAGUUUUGCCCAUUAAUUGCCUCUUUUGCUUAAUGUUGUCAAUGAUAACAUCAUGAAACUCCUUCUUUGCAAUUCUCAAGACUUCUUUCAAUGUGAAUUCCACCUUAGCAUUUAAUAUACGUUCUUCCAACACCCCUUUCAAAUUUAAUGCCGUUUCAAUGUUAGAAAGUAGCUUAUAAGCAAUUGAUUUGCCCUUAUCUUUUGUCUCCUUUUUUUUUUCUCCCAAUGAUGCUGAGGUAUCCUUUACAGGCAAUUCUUGUGAAGCUGCCUCCCGAGCCUUGUCUCCUCGAGUUUGCCUCUUAGAAGAAUUUCCUUCUCUAGUAUCAUCAAAAUUUCCUCGUCUCUUUUCUUCCAUCAAAGCUUCAUGUUGGCUCUUAGCAAUAUAUGCAUGAACUGAAAGAGAUUCAGCACGAUCCUCCCAACUUGUUCUACCUCGUAUUGUAGCUGCAGUCUGCAAUAACACUUCUCGAGGUAAUUUUCCUUCUUACAUUGUUGAAACGGCAGAAGCUCAAAACUCACUAGUUUCCGUACUUCCACCGAGGUCAUCAUCUACUCUAGCACCAUAACUUGCACUUUCUCGUGCUGUUGUUUUAUGCUCUUUUAGGUAAUCUUGAACCAAUGCUCUCAUUCUUCCUUUGCCAAAAUUGGUUUGAAGAAGAUCCUCCCUAUCCUUUAAUGCUAUCUUCCUAUCUUUCCGGCAAAUAAUUCCUUGUCGUAUCAUAUUAUUAAAUUCAUUGCAAUCUUUUCUAGUGUGUGAAGCAUCAUCACACCAAAUGCAUCUUUGUACAUAUCCUUGUUUUGAAACAUUCUUCAAAUUAUUUGUAGAAGUAUUCUCUUCAAGUCUUGCCAAUUUGAUUUAAAGAUCUCGCAUUUCCCGUAUAAUUUCUUCCAUCCCCAUAUAUGCUUUCUUCGAUAAGGAUGUCGAAGGUUGAACUGUAGGCAUUGUUAGUGGUGUUGUACAUACUGGAGCUUUGGGUGCUUGUACUGUUUUUGGAAUAUUGCUCCUAUCCUUCUUCCUUUCUUUUUUUGUAAGCAACCCCACCGCAUCUUCAACAUUCUUCCACUUUGUUGUCAAUCCUUCAUCUUCUUCUUUGUCUUCAAGAAGGAGUUCUAAUUUCCCUUGCAAUUCUCCAUCAGCAGCUUGAAGAAAUAGAUUAACUCUGUUUGGCACCAAUGUCAAUUUUUCUACCUUCAAUAAUUGAGAGUACUGCCUCUCAAAUUCCCUUAGUAGCUCUGUUGCUUAUAAAUUCUUAUUGGGCCGUUCAAUCCAUUCCAGAAACAACUUCUUAGUAACGCGAUCAGCAUCUUCCAAGAAAUAUUCGUCUUUCAAUGCAUGUGAAAAAACCUCCCAUGAAUUCCCAUAACGAUCCGUAAUCGAUGUAAUAUGGUCUCUUAUCUCCGGUAUCGUGGCAAGUCCAAAUAAUUCAACCAUUUUCUUCUCAAAAACCCGAUUUAAUUCCAUUUCACGAACAUAACAUCUUAAAUACCUUGAAAUAUUCCUCCUAUCAAAUUGAUCAAUUUUAUUGACCACUGCUUGCAAUGCUUUGGUUGCCAAAGCUUCCUUUCGAUCAUUGUUUUGCUGUUGCUGCAUUGAUAAUGAGAAGGCUUGAAACAUACUAGCAAUAGACGGAUCCAUGUGCAUACCUUGUCCUUUAGAAGACUCCCCACCAAAAACUCCUCCCAAAAAUCCUUCAAAAUUUUUAUUUUCGUUUUCCAUAAAAUAAAAAUAAAAAUAAAAUCAAAUGAAAUCUAAUACCUUUCACCUCAAGCUUUCACAUCAGGUUCACCACUUUUUUUGUAUUACGUGCUUUCCUGCUCGAGAAUGCGCUGGACGUUUGGCUGUAGAAGGUAGUAUAGAGAUUCGCCAAUAGUCAAGCAGUCUAUCAGUUUUUGACUGUUGGAAUAUAAGCGACUGCAAGAAUACACCGUAAAUCUAUAUGGAUGCCCUUCAACUGCUCGCCGAAGUCCUUUUCGCCCCAGCCGGUAGGUCUCUAGACGUUACAAAGAACCCCGAACAACCCAAUCUGCUAAUCUCCGAUACCGCUUUAUACUCACGAUCUUGUAUCCACUGACUGUCUUGUUAGAUUAACCCAAUAAAUUUCAUUCACUCCGCAUACUCAAUCCUACAGACACCCUUUUAAUUCUUCAUCACAGACGUAACUCGAUUUCACAAAACAGUCAAGAGUAAUCAAACCCACUUCAUUAAAAAUCCCGAUUCACCAUUACAACACUAACUUCAGCAACGAUUGCCUCAGUCUUUCCAAAACCCUAUGAAGAAAAAAAACCCAAUUCUCUGUCUUUUUUUUCCUUCCGAAGCAUGAAGCUCGCUCUCUGAUCCUUCAAAAAAACCCCUCCCAAAAACUUAUUCUC
rnacentral:lncRNA from 1 species